rnacentral:lncRNA from 1 species
GAUGGGUUUCACUGUAACUCCAAAUCUGCAUACUGGCCUCAAUUGCAGGGAGUUCUACAGUAACUCCUAAAUCAACACCUACUAUUGGCACAUGAGCGAAUGAAAAGACGAAGAAGGUUACUCCAUGUGAGAAUUACCUCUGCAGAUCAACCUAAAUGAGCGCUAGUAGCACAAGAGAAAAUUGAUUUGUAACCACAACAUGAAGAGAAAAC